rnacentral:misc_RNA from 1 species
UAUCCCCAAAUUUGCUUUUAACCUAUGUUUUUUUUUAUUCAUUAUGUUUUUCAUUCGUUCUACUCUUUCUUAACUCGAAUAGAACCUUUUUCUUAUAAUAAGUAAUAAGAAAGGCCUUUGAAUCCUUUAUUUUCGUCGUUUUAAUUGACAUAGACCCAGUCAUCUAGUAAAAUAAAAAUGAGGCUUAUGCAUCGGAAAUGGUCGGGAUAGCUCAGUUGGUAGAGCAGAGGACUGAAAAUCCUCGUGUC